GUGCAGCAGGCGAGAAUCCUCCGCAAUGCGCGAAAGCGCGACGGGGCCACCCCGAGUGCCGCCCGCUGAGGGCGGCUUUUCCCGGUGUAGACAGCCGGGGGAAUAAGGGGAGGGCAAGUCUGGUGUCAGCCGCCGCGGUAAUACCAGCUCCCCGAGUGGUGGGGACGAUUAUUGGGCCUAAAGCGUCCGUAGCCGGCCCGGCAAGUCUCCCGUUAAAUCCAGCGAUCUAAUCGCUGGACUGCGGGAGAUACUGUCGGGCUAGGGGGCGGGAGAGGCCGGCGGUAUUCCCGGGGUAGGGGUGAAAUCCUAUAAUCCCGGGAGGACCACCAGUGGCGAAGGCUGCCGGCUGGAACGCGCCCGACGGUGAGGGACGAAAGCCGGGGGAGCGAACCGGAUUAGAUACCCGCGUAGU
rnacentral:rRNA from 1 species